AUUGAACGCUGGCGGCAUGCUUUACACAUGCAAGUCGAACGGCAGCGCGGGCUUUGGCCUGUCGGCGAGUGGCGAACGGGUGAGUAAUGCAUCGGAACGUGCCCAGGCGCGGGGGAUAGCGCGGCGAAAGCCGGAUUAAUACCGCAUACGACCUGAGGGUGAAAGCGGGGGACCGAAAGGCUUCUCGCUAUAGGAGCGGCCGGUGUCGGAUUAGCUAGUUGGUGGGGUAAAGGCUUACCAAGGCGACGAUCCGUAGCUGGUCUGAGAGGAGGACCAGCCACACUGGGACUGAGACACGGCCCAGACUCCUACGGGAGGCAGCAGUGGGGAAUUUUGGACAAUGGGGGCAACCCUGAUCCAGCCAUGCCGCGUGCGGGAAGAAGGCCUUCGGGUUGUAAACCGCUUUUGUUCGGGAAGAAAUCCUCUGGGCUAAUACCCCGGGGGGAUGACGGUACCGGAAGAAUAAGCACCGGCUAACUACGU
rnacentral:rRNA from 1 species